rfam:Aedes albopictus isolate Foshan contig44739, whole genome shotgun sequence.
CUUCUCGUGGCGUAGCGGCAACGCGCCUGUCUGGUGAGUAGGAGUCGUGAGUUCGAGUCUCACCGAGAGGA